rnacentral:lncRNA from 1 species
AACAGGUUUACAUAACUUUCUUAGGGUCCCACAGCUUGUAAGUGUCUGAGGUCAAAUUUGAAUUUAGGCCUUCCUAACUCCCAGCCUGGCUUCCUAGCCACUUUGCCACAUAGCUGCUUUAGUAUAGAGUAUGACAUUGCCCACUGAGGGCACUGAGAAAGAUUAAAUUACAGUCACAGUUCUCUGUUUAAGAAGGUAGGAAGAUAACCCACUUAAGGAAGAUUUCCAUAAGAAGUGUCUCAAUUUUUGAAAAAUAGUUUCAGUGCUUUAAGGAAUUUAAUCUGGGUUAUUUUGUGAAUCCACUGAUAGAGAACACCUCACUGGAUACAUGAGGCAUUACCAGACCUUUGGAAUCAUCUCCCCACAAGAGACCUGAUUCUGGUUGGAAAAGUUAAUACGAUAUCCAUCCUUAAACUAUGGGAGUGGAAACACCGAGGAAAAGCAACUGCCUGAAUACAGCGGUUGAGGGGACA